GUAGGUGAACCUGCGGAAGGAUCAUUAUUGAAUGAACAUGGAGUUUGGUUGUCGCUGGCCCCUUCACUGGGGCAUGUGCACGCCUUUCUCUAUUCAUCCACACACACCUGUGAACUUGUGAGACGGAUAGUAGUCCCCCUCGGGGGGCGAGCUCCGUCUGCUAUACAUAAACUCCAGUAAAUAAAUUUGAAUGUCAUUUGAUGUAACGCAUCUAUAAACUAAGUUUCAACAACGGAUCUCUUGGCUCUCG
rnacentral:misc_RNA from 1 species